CAUAAACAAAUCCAGCGCA
rnacentral:siRNA from 1 species